rnacentral:rRNA from 1 species
UACGAAGGGGGCUAGCGUUGCUCGGAAUUACUGGGCGUAAAGGGCGCGUAGGCGGUCUUGUCAGUCCCUUGUGAAAUCCCCCGGCUCAACUGGGGAACUGCACGGGAAACAGCAGGGCUUGAGUUCGGGAGAGGGAAGCGGAAUUCCGGGUGUAGCGGUGAAAUGCGUAGAUAUCCGGAGGAACACCGGUGGCGAAGGCGGCUUCCUGGACCGAUACUGACGCUGAGGCGCGAAAGCUAGGGGAGCAAACGGG